ACCCCCUAGAUCUAUGGGGCAGGAGGUGACUUAGGGGGCGCCCCAUAGAUCUAUGGGGCAGGACCUGGAACCGCCAUCCCAGGGGCCAGGAGCUGGGCUUGGGGGGUGCCCCCCGAGCUCUAUGGGGCUGGGGUUUGGGGGGGGACGGACUUUACCCCCUUUCCUGCCCCACAUCUCUGGGUCUGCCCCACAUCUCUGGGUCUGCCCCACAUCUCUGGGUCUGCCCCACACCAGGUGCUGCUCUACGGGCAGCUCUACCGCAUCUCGCUGGAGCUGGAGCUCCCGGAGUCACCCCCCAACCGGGCCCUGGGGAUGUUCAUGGUCAACAUCAGCUGCUACGGGCCCCACGGCCGCCCCAUAGCGACCGCCGCCCGCGCCGUAUGUGGGGCGCUAUGGGGCAGGGAGAGGGGUGUGGGGCGCUAUGGGGCAGGGAGGGGGGUGCGGGGCGAGGUUUGGGGUCCCCCCUGCCUUCCGUUUCCAACAUCAGCCCCAUAGCGACCGCCUCCCACGCCGUAUGUGGGGCGCUAUGGGGCAGGGAAGGGGAUGUGGGGUGAGGUGUGGGGCCCUGCCCCACAUCCUGCCCCACAAGUCCCUGCCCCACACCUUCUGCCCCACAUUUCCAAUAUCAUUCCCGCUGAGCACCCCAUCUCCUCCUCCACCAUCACCCUCUGUGGGGCAGGGGGACGCUGUGGGUCCCUGCCCCACACCCUGCCCCACACCCUGCCCCACAUCUACCCCACAUCCUGCCCCACACAUCCCCAUCUGACACUUCCUGCCCCACAUUUCCAACAUCAUUUCCACCAAUCACCCCCUUGUCUUCACCUUUCCCGCCAUAUGUGGGGCUCUGUGGGGCAGGGGGACGCUGUGGGUCCCUGCCCCACACCCUGCCCCACACCCUGCCCCACACCCUGCCCCACACCCUGCCCCACAGACGAUGCUCCAUUACCGCUCCCCGCUGCUCCGCACCCUCCACACCGUGGCCUUCGCCGGACUCUUCCUCGGGGGCUUCGCGGAGCAGACGCAGACGCUGGAGGUGGAGCUUUGCUCCCGCUACCGGGAGGACCCCUACCUGCCGACGGCGGGGGCGGUGCUGCAGAUCCAGAGCAAACGGGUUCAAUUCUAUGGGGCUCGGCUCCGCGUCCAGGCGCGAUUCAGCGGCAUCAGGUGAGGGGGGCUCUGCCCCACAGCGACCCACGGCUGCCCCACAGCGACCCACGGCUGCCCCAUAGCGACCCAGAGCUGCCCCAUAGCGACCCAGAGUCAACCCCAGGGAUCAGCCCCGAGGAUUAGCUCUGUUACCGGCCCCAUAGAUCAGCCCCAUAGACGGUCUCCUGGCUCUGCCCCAUAGCAGACCCACAGCUGCCCCAUAGUGACCCAGAGCUGCCCCACAGCGACCCACGGCUGCCCCAUAGUGACCCACGGCUGCCCCACAGCGACCCACGGCUGCCCCAUAGUGACCCACGGCUGCCCCAUAGCGACCCACAGCUGCCCCAUAGCGGCCCCAGAGUCAACCCCAGGGAUCAGCCCCGAGGAUUUGCUCCGUUACCAGCCCCAUAGAUCAGCCCCAUAGACGGUCUCCUGGCUCUGCCCCAUAGCAGACCCACAGCUGCCCCAUAGUGACCCAGAGCUGCCCCACAGCGACCCACGGCUGCCCCAUAGUGACCCACGGCUGCCCCACAGCGACCCACGGCUGCCCCAUAGUGACCCACGGCUGCCCCAUAGCGACCCACAGCUGCCCCAUAGCGGCCCCAGAGUCAACCCCAGGGAUCAGCCCCGAGGAUUUGCUCCGUUACCAGCCCCAUAGAUCAGCCCCAUAGACGGUCUCCUGGCUCUGCCCCAUAGCGACCCACAGCUGCCCCAUAGCGACCCAUAGCUGCCCCAUAGCGGACCCAGAGCUGCCCCAUAGCGACCCACAGCUGCCCCAUAGCGACCCACGGCUGCCCCAUAGCAGCCCCAGGGUCAACCCCAGGGAUCAGCCCCGAGGAUUCGCUCCGUUACCAGCCCCAUAGAUCAGCCCCAUAGAUCAGCCCCACAGACAGUCUGCUGGCUCUGCCCCAUAGCGACCCACAGCUGCCCCAUAGUGACCCACGGCUGCCCCAUAGCGACCCACAGCUGCCCCAUAGCGACCCAUGGCUGCCCCAUAGCGACCCACGGCUGCCCCAUAGCAGCCCCAGGGUCAACCCCAGGGAUCAGCCCCGAGGAUUCGCUCCGUUACCAGCCCCAUAGAUCCUCCCCCAGCCCCACUUCCAGCCCCAUAGAUCAAGCAGAACUUGCCCCAAUCCCCCCUCCU
rnacentral:lncRNA from 1 species